AGCGGGUAAAAAACUCCCAAACCCGCUGUUGGGUUGGUCUCUGCGCUGGCUGCCCUCGCCAUGGAGGACGAUGGCCAUCCCGACCCCUACCUUGAUCUCCCCCCUGAAAUCGCCGAGGAGCGGCGGCGCGCUGCUAGACUCGCUGAUGAGCGCCGCCGCCAGCACCGCGAAACCGCUCUUUGUCUGCUCUCGCCGCCGGCUCCCGUCGCCAUGGACGGCGAUGCUCCUCUCGUCUCGUUCCUUGAUCUUCACCCUGAACUCGCCGAGGAGCGGCGGCGCCCCGAACCGUCAUCUUCCCAUAAAACUGAGGUUCAGGUGCAUGCUAGCGAGGUUAGCAGCAAUGAGGGCUCUGUAACUGUGGAUCUGUCAGAAUCCACUGCCCAAGCGCUGAAUGACGUACCUCACAGGAAAUAUUAUGUUUCGGUCAAAAUAUUUCAGCAAAUUCAGUACUACGCAGGAAAUCAAAUAUUUUUCAAAAUAUUUUUUUAAAAUUUCAAAUAUUUAAUUCCAAAUGAAUAUUUCGGCCUUUUGGCUGAAAUGCAAACUGAAAUAACUGAUUUAUAGCUGAAAUGAACUGUACAGAACCACCUUAGCGGCUUUCUUACAGCCUAAGACUUCUUGACUUGACCCACUGACUUCUAGCGUAAGACAAAGACUUGACUCACUAGCUUACUACCGAAAAUAUUCAAAAAUAAAUAAAUAUUACCAUAUUUCCAAGUGUCAUUAGUUUCUUCAUUGCACUUCUUGACUUGGCCCACUGACUUCUAGCGUAAGACAAAGACUUGAAUCACUAGCUUACUAUCGAAAUUAUUUACAAAAUAUAUAUUCGGACCAUAUUUCCAAGUGUCAUCCUUUUGUUCAUUGUUAUACCACCGUUCGCUCUGUUAUACUCAAUCCUUAAGACUUGAUUCAUUAACUAACUGCAGCAUGACUAACUACAACAAGGAUUAUAACUAACAGCAGGAAGUCUCAAAGCACUAAAACUAUACCUGUUUAUACAUGGAUCAAAUAGCCAAAAAGAAAAGAAGAGUAGCAGAGCCGCAUGUCAUUAGUAAAGUGCAGCACGGCAAAUGUGAGUGCUAUGAAUUAAACUAUUCACAUUCUAAUCUAUGGUUUAAUUGCUAUCACUAUGUAUAGCUACUUAGAUAUUGACGCAUAAAGCACAAAAUAAUGCCGUAGGCUGUAACAGCACCAGCAAAUAAGCAGCCAAACAAUUAUUUAUGUUCAUUUACAGUAAUUUUUCUUUGUUUUGCCUCAGCGGAAUACAUUCACUAGUUCAGUACUACAUAGACUUAUUUAUUGCAUUAUGUAAACUAUAUGGGCAUGGUUUUCUUCAGGGAGAAGGAACUGCAAGAAAUGGAGGAUUACUUGAAAGAGAAUACGUGCAACACUGUAAGCGAAGUGAUGGAUAAGAUUUUCGGUCUAGGGUGUUCCAGUCUAGCUGCUAAGUAUGACAAUAUGUCAGCUGCUGAGCAUGCUGAUAUGACUGCUCGACCUUCCUACUUUUGUAAGAGGCCUCCCGUAGGGUGACCGUCUUCUCCAGCUGAUUCAGAAACCCAGUCCCUUCAGGCAACAGAACCAGCUUUGAGGAAUGAACCAUCGCGGCAGUAUUUGCUACGUCGACAACCAAGUCAUGCAGAUGGAAAAUGAGGUUCUCUUUAAGAAAUUUCACUUAUUUCCGAAGCACAGGAACUGCAGAUUCAUGCCACUAAAGCUGUUUUAAGUGAGUUAUUGGAAGCUCAAACUGCGUGAUCCUGGAUCUGACUGGCAACUGGUGGACUGCCGAGGUUGCCUGUUGACCGUUGCUAGUAAUUAUCCCCUUGGCCCCUCAUAAUAUGCAGGGUUAUAAAUUAUCCAAUCACCCUUGUAUGCUACAUGUUACUAUUAUAGCAUCUUUGUGUUUGCAGAAAGAAGCGAAAAUGCCUUUCUGCUCCCGAGCUCAUUUGAGCUCGGUGAACAGUAAAAUCGAAAAAAUAUCAAAAAAUUCCAAUUUUUUUUGGGAGAAACAUUGACAAAAGUUCUAAGUGCUUGCAAAAAUUCGUCAUGAAAUCACAUUCCUGUAAGGCGUGGCAAAAAAACAAAUUCAGUGCUCCAAAAUGCUUUUGAAAGUAGCAUUUUCAGAGUACCGAUUUUUUUUUGCCACGCCUUCUAGAAAUGUGAUUUCAUAAAGAUUUUUUGCAAGCACUUAAAACUUUUCUCAAUGUUUCUCCCAAAAAAAAUUGUAAUUUUUCGAAUUUUUUUCGAUUUUCUUUUGAUUUUACUGUUCACCCGAGCUCAUUUGUGCUCGGGUGCAGAAACUCUGCGUCCCAGAAAGAAGUAUCUAUCAUCUAUGUUUCUUGUUUAGCAAAAUAGCAGAAGAUAUUGAUAAUAUUCAUGUAUGUUUAUUGGUUCCUCUACAUGCACCAUAGUUUUUCCCCAAUAUUCAUUCUUUUAGAUAAUGAGAGGGAUCACGGGCCAUGACAGGCGCACAAUUUCUUAGCAACCAGUGCAUAUACCAACCUUAUAAGCACAUUUAGGUGUUCGCCACACAUAUAUCUAGUUAAUUUACUUUCCUUUCAAUGUUAUGUGCUUCUUAAUAUGUGUUGGGGCCAAAACCCAAAAGCUUAUCAAUCGUUGAACAUGAUGACAUCAUAUUCUGGUUUCU